rnacentral:rRNA from 1 species
CGGAGGAAAAGAAACCAACAGGGAUUGCCUUAGUAGCGGCGAGUGAAGCGGCAAAAGCUCAAAUUUGAAAUCUGGCACCUUCGGUGUCCGAGUUGUAAUUUGAAGAUUGUAACCUUGGGGUUGGCUCUUGUCUAUGUUUCUUGGAACAGGACGUCACAGAGGGUGAGAAUCCCGUGCGAUGAGAUGCCCAAUCCUAUGUAAGGUGCUUUCGAAGAGUCGAGUUGUUUGGGAAUGCAGCUCUAAGUGGGUGGUAAAUUCCAUCUAAAGCUAAAUAUUGGCGAGAGACCGAUAGCGAACAAGUACAGUGAUGGAAAGAUGAAAAGAACUUUGAAAAGAGAGUGAAAAAGUACGUGAAAUUGUUGAAAGGGAAGGGUUUGAGAUCAGACUCGAUAUUUUGUGAGCCUUGCCUUCGUGGCGGGGUGACCCGCAGCUUAUCGGGCCAGCAUCGGUUUGGGCGGUAGGAUAAUGGCGUAGGAAUGUGACUUUGCUUCGGUGAAGUGUUAUAGCCUGCGUUGAUGCUGCCUGCCUAGACCGAGGACUGCGAUUUUAUCAAGGAUGCUGGCAUAAUGAUCCCAAACCGCCCGUCUU